UACAUGGGGUGCAAACGUUGCUCGGAAUUAUUGGGCGUAAAGCGUGCGUAGACGGCUAUCUAAGUCGGGUGUGAAAGCCCCGGGCUCAACCUGGGAAUUGCAUUCGAGACUGAAUAGCUAGGGUACGGUAGAGGGAAGCGGAAUUUCCGGUGUAGCGGUGAAAUGCGUAGAUAUCGGGAGGAACACCUAUGGCGAAGGCAGCUCGCUGGGACGUUACUGACGCUGAGACGCGAAAGCGUGGGGAGCAAACAGG
rnacentral:rRNA from 1 species